UCGGGAAUUUUGGGCAAUGGGCGCAAGCCUGACCCAGCAACGCCGCGUGAAGGAUGAAGUUCUUCGGAAUGUAAACUUCGUAAGAAUGGGAAGAAUAAAUGACGGUACCAUUUGUAAGGUCCGGCUAACUACGUGCCAGCAGCCGCGGUAAUACGUAGGGACCAAGCGUUGUUCGGAUUUACUGGGCGUAAAGGGCGCGUAGGCGGCAAUUCAAGUCAGCUGUGAAAUCUCCGGGCUUAACUCGGAACGGUCAGCUGAUACUGCUUUGCUAGAGUA
rnacentral:rRNA from 1 species